AUAGCUUCUCAGCCUUUUGGCUAAGAUCAAGUACAGUUAUGUUUUUAUAGUUUAAUAUCUGAAAUGUCUUCUAUCCAAAGACAAUUUUUUUUUUUUUUGAGAUGGAUUUUCGCUCUUGUUGCCCAGGCUAGAGUGCAAUGGCAUGAUCUCAGCUCACCACAACCUCUGCCUCCCAGGUUCAAACA
ensembl:snRNA RNU2-65P RNA, U2 small nuclear 65, pseudogene